rnacentral:rRNA from 1 species
AGUGAACGCUGGCGGUAGGCCUAACACAUGCAAGUCGAACGGCAGCACAGUAAGAGCUUGCUCUUACGGGUGGCGAGUGGCGGACGGGUGAGGAAUACAUCGGAAUCUACUUUUUCGUGGGGGAUAACGUAGGGAAACUUACGCUAAUACCGCAUACGACCUACGGGUGAAAGCAGGGGAUCUUCGGACCUUGCGCGAUUGAAUGAGCCGAUGUCGGAUUAGCUAGUUGGCGGGGUAAAGGCCCACCAAGGCGACGAUCCGUAGCUGGUCUGAGAGGAUGAUCAGCCACACUGGAACUGAGACACGGUCCAGACUCCUACGGGAGGCAGCAGUGGGGAAUAUUGGACAAUGGGCGCAAGACUGAUCCAGCCAUACCGCGUGGGUGAAGAAGGCCUUCGGGUUGUAAAGCCCUUUUGUUGGGAAAGAAAAGCAGCAGGUUAAUACCCCGCUGUUCUGACGGUACCAAAAGAAUAAGCACCGGCUAACUUCGUG